rnacentral:rRNA from 1 species
GAUGAACGCUGGCGGCGUGCUUAACACAUGCAAGUCGAACGGAAAGGCCAGUGCUUGCACUGGUACUCGAGUGGCGAACGGGUGAGUAACACGUGGGUGAUCUGCCCUGUACUUCGGGAUAAGCUUGGGAAACUGGGUCUAAUACCGGAUAGGACAACUUUUUGGAUAUUGUUGUGGAAAGCUUUUGCGGUAUGGGAUGAGCUCGCGGCCUAUCAGCUUGUUGGUGGGGUAAUGGCCUACCAAGGCGUCGACGGGUAGCCGGCCUGAGAGGGUGUACGGCCACAUUGGGACUGAGAUACGGCCCAGACUCCUACGGGAGGCAGCAGUGGGGAAUAUUGCACAAUGGGCGCAAGCCUGAUGCAGCGACGCCGCGUGGGGGAUGAAGGCCUUCGGGUUGUAAACUCCUUUCGCUAGGGACGAAGCUUUUUUGUGACGGUACCUGGAGAGGAAGCACCGGCUAACUACGUG